UUUCCCCAUCCUCCCUCUCUCUUGAACUCUUUCCUGUGUGAUUCUUCGGACCAUGUUUGAUCCGCCUCUGUUCUUACUACUUAGCUUUGAGACCUUUGAGCUUGAAUGGCAGCCUCUGUUCUUACUACUCUCAAGGCUCUUCUUCUCACCUAAAUUCAUGGCAUUCUGUUGCUGCUGCUGCAGUACUGCUUCUCGCUGGGAGCAGUCGAGAGAGAGAGCCCUUCCUUUCUCUCUCCAUCUCUCUCUCUGGUACCUAAAGAUUCCGUAAAAAAAUCUUCGUUUCUACAAGUUUCUAAUUAGCGGCUAUUCUCUGACUCUUCACUCUUGUGGUCUUGUUGUACUCCGAAGGGGGAUCACACUUCGAAUGUGUUGAUCAAGUACAUACUUCCAAUAGCUUUGCUGCUCGGCUGUCAUGGCUGAAGUCGCCAAACUCGUGGAACUUCUCCACGAAGAGAAGGCGCCCAAAGAUCUCUUAAAGAGGCCUAACUCUGAUUUGAUCAGAGCAGGUCUCGAGAAAUUCUAUUCGAUCAUCAUAGGAGGAAUUGAAGAAAUCGGAGAUGGAAAGUUAGGGCUGGAGACCUGGAACCACUUGCAGAUUCAGGCGGUCGUAUCGGUUGCCAAGUCAAUUGUUUCUGCAACUCGAUCUAUUUCCGUGUGGCCUUCUUGUUUCUUUUUUGUGACAUUGCGAACAGUUGAAAAUGCGGAGCCAAUAAUCGUUGCAAUAUUCCAGAAGUCACUCGAGUUCUCUACUCGUUGUCUGGAGAAAUUGAUGGCUGGAAAUGGUGAUUUUAGUCUUAGAUUACAUUAUUUCCGCUGUGCAAUUCCAACAAUUGGUAUCAGAGCCACACGGUUUUGUUCUGGGAUUCUGCCGGAAUCUGUAUUUGCUGUUCCGGUAAUGCACGUGUUGAAUAUGGUGAGUUCAAGCUCUACCCAGUUCGACAUACUGAAAUUCAACGGAUCCAACUAUGCAAUUUGGAAGCUGAAGAUGCAUGUGUGUUGGAGAAAGAAGAUUGUGCAAUUGCCUUGGAAAGAAAAGAUAAGAAGCCUGCUGAUAUGAAAGGCGAAGAUUUUGAGAAGAAAAACCAGAUAGCCAUGGUUGAUAUUCUUAUUGCUUUAGAAGAUUUAGUUUUAUUCAACGUGUCUGAGGAAACCACUACCAAAUGUUUAUGGGACAAGUUGCGGAAUCUCUACGAGGGGAAAUCGAUGUCCAACAAAAUCUUUCUCCGACGAUAACUCUACAAUCUAAAGAUGAAGGACGGAGCCUCUUUGCAAGUACACUUGAAUGAGUUCAACACUCUCGUAGGCAAAUUAGCAGCUGUAGAGGUGACGCAAUGAUGGUAUGAGGUAGAUCGAAUGAGAGAAACAGCUCUAUCAAAAAUCAAACGAGAUCCAAGUCAAGAAGCAAAAAGAAAGGACUCAAGUGUUGGAAUUGUGGUAAGAAGGGGCACCUUCGAAAAGAUUGUCGGCAACCCAAAGCAGAACAAAAUCGGCCCAACUCUAACAAAUAUUCGGCUUCAAAUAAUUCACAAGGAAACAUCGCAGAAGGAAGUGAUUCAUCAGAAGAUGGUGAGGUACUGUCUAUUGAUUCUUGUGAUAAUUUAAAGCAUGACUGGAUAUUAGAAUAUGGUGCUUCUUUCCAUAUGACGCCAUGUAGAGAUUGGUUCUACACAUUCCAAUCGUGCGAUGGUGGGACUAUUUACAUAGGCGAUAAUAGCACAUGCAAAAUAGUGGGAAUUGGAGACGUUAGAAUUACUAUGUUUGACGGCAUCACUCAUACAAUCUCUGGUGUACGAUAUGUUCCUGAACUGCGAAAGAGUCCUGUCAUUGGAAAAGUUUGAUGAAGACGGUUACAAGUUUUCUGGAGAAAAGGGCCAAUUGAAGAUCAGUAAAAGAGUUAUGGUAAUUGCAAAAGGCAAAUUACAAGGGAAGUUAUACCACUUGAUCGGGGAUACCAUGGUCGGCGAUGCCAUCGUUGCAAAUGCURUGACCGAUUCCGUCAUGAUUUAGCACAGACGUUUGGGUCAUAUGAGCAAGCAAGGACUUAAGGAAAGUAUGGGUAUAUUUAUUCCAACGGAAGAGUGAUAUUUUUUCCUAUUUCAAAAAGUUCAAAGUUCUAGUUGAAAAUCAGAAGGGGAAAAGAAUUAAGUGUCUGAGAACCGAYAAUGGGAAAGAAUAUACCUCGAAAGAAUUUGAAGAUUUUUGCAAUGAGCACGACAUUCUGAGACAAUAUAUAGUUCCACGAACUCCACAACAAAACUGAGUUGCUGAACGAAUGAAUCGUACACUUAUGGAUCGAGCUAGAAGCAUGUUGAGUGCAGCUAAGCUGGAGCAGUACUUUUGGGCAGAAGUAGUCAAUACGGCAUGUUACCUAGUAAAUUCUCCCACUAUGGCACUUGAUUGCAAAAUUCCAGAAGAGGUAUGGUCAGGAACCCUGUUGAUUAUUCUUUCCUACGUACCUUUGGUUGUGAUGUUUAUGCUUGGAUUCCUAAGGAGCAAAGGACCAAGAUAGAGGCAAGGUCCAAAAAGUGUAUUUUUCUUGGCUAUGCAGAAGGUACAAAGGGAUACAGAUUGUGGGAUCCUACUGCCCACAAGAUAGUUGUUAGCAAAGAUGUUGUCUUCAAUGAAGAUUCGAUGCAAAAAGAAUCAAGCUCUAAGACAACAGAGAAAAUUGAAGUAGAAUCUUUUCAAAAGAUUCAAGAGCAACAAAUUGAUACAACUGUUGAUGUACCUGAAGAGCAUGUUGACAAUUUUGAAGGAGAGACUCACGGUGAUCAAGGUCGAUCGAGGAGAGCUACAAGACCUCCUAUCUGGCUUCAGGAUUAUGUAAUAGCUUACGCUUGCAUUACAGAAGAGCACGAGCCUUAUUCAUACCAGUAAGCAUGCAAAUGUCCAAAUGCUUGUCAUUGGCAAAUGGCAAUGGAGGAAGAAAUGGAAACUCUGAAAAAAAAUAAACUUGGGACUUAGUCAAACUACCUAAGAAUCGAAAGGCCAUUGGGUAUAUAUGGGUGUACAAACUCAAAAAGGACACUAACGGGAAUAUCGAAAGAUACAAAGCUCGACUAGUUGUAAAAGGAUAUGCUCAGAAAUCAGGUAUCGACUUCAACGAAAUAUUUUCUCCUAUUAUUUGAUUAAGUACUAUUCGUAUUCUAUCGAGUAUGGCUGCAGUACUUGACUUGGAGAUGGAGCAGUUAGAUGUUAAAACUGCAUUCUUGCAUGGUAAUCUUGAAAAAGAGAUUUAUAUGACUCAACUUGAAGGCUUUGUCGAGAACGACAAAAAUGAUCUGAUUUGUCAGCUGACCAAAUCACUUUACAGUCUAAAACAGGUGCCAAGGUGUUGGUAUAAGCGAUUUGAUUCCUUCAUUGUGAGCUUAGGCUUUAGCAAAUGCGAAACAAAUCAUUGUGCCUACACAUACUUUGGUAAUGAUCACUUCAUCAUUUUGUUGUUAUAUGUUGAUGACAUGUUAGUUGCAGGUACUGAUAAAGGAAGUAUCUCAACACUGAAAGCUCGUUUAGUUAGGGAGUUUGACAUGAAGGAUCUGGGGGCAGUUAAUCAGAUUCUUAGGAUGACGGUAUAUAAGGACAGAAAGAACAGAAAAGUCUGGAUAACUCAAAAGAGUUAUGUUCAAAGGGUCUUGCGACACUUCAACAUGCAGAAUUCCAAACCAGUUAGUAUCCCAUUUCUUGUUGGUUGCAAGUUGUCUUCGGAACAAUCACCUAGCACUGAAUUUGAGAAGAUAGAGAUGUCCCAAUACCAUAUUCAUCAGCAGUAGGGAGCCUUAUGUUUGCCAUGGUGUGCACCAGAAUAGACAUUGCACAAGCAGUGGGAGCAGUCAGUAAGUUUAUGGCAAAUCCAGGAAGAGAUCAUUGGACUGUGGUGAAGAGAAUCCUUUGGUAUUUGAAGGGUACUUUUGAAAUCUCCAUUUGCUAUAGUGGUCAAAGCUUAAAACUAGUUGGUUAUGUGGAUGUAGACUAUACAGGAGAUCGCGAUAAUAAAMAAUCAACUACUGGUUAUGUGUUUUCUUUAGCUAAUGGUGGAGUGAGUUGGGCAUCAAAAUUGCAAUCUAUAGUGGCCUUAUUUACAACAGAAGCAGAAUAUAUGCCAGCUACACAAACAUGCAAAGAAAGUAUUUGGCUAAAGAGGUUGUUUGAUGAAUUCCACAUCAAGAAAGAAGUGGUGAAUAUUCAUUGUAACAGUCAAAGCGCAUUACACUUGGCAAGAAAUCCUGUCUUUCAUGCA